rnacentral:rRNA from 1 species
UACAGAGGGGGCAAGCGUUAUUCGGAAUUAUUGGGCGUAAAGGGCGCGUAGGCGGCUUCGCAAGUGGAAGGUGAAAUCCCUCGGCUUAACCGAGGAACUGCCCCUCCAAACUGCGUGGCUUGAGUCCGGGAGAGGUGAGUGGAAUUCCCAGUGUAGCGGUGAAAUGCGUAGAUAUUGGGAGGAACACCAGUGGCGAAGGCGGCUCACUGGACCGGAACUGACGCUGAGGCGCGAAAGCGUGGGGAGCAAACGGG